GGCAGUGGUGGCUUAGUGGUUUUAGGCUCUGGGUUGCUGAUCAGAAGGUCAUGAGUUCAAGUCGAAGCACUGCCA